UAGCGUAGGGGGCGAGCGUUGUCCGGAUUCAUUGGCGUAAAGGGCAAGUAGGCGGCUUGGCAAGUCGGAUGUGAAAACUCUGGGCUUAACCCAGAGACGCCAUCCGAUACUGCUAUGGCUAGAGUCCGGUAGGGGACCACGGAAUACCUGGUGUAGCGGUGAAAUGCGCAGAUAUCAAGUGGAACACCAGUGGCGAAGGCGAGUCUCUGGACAUUUCCUGACGCUGAGGCACGAAAGCCAGGGGAGCAAACGGG
rnacentral:rRNA from 1 species